rnacentral:pre_miRNA from 1 species
AGGGGGAACAUCCCAGUGGCGGGGCCAGCUCUGCAGCCCUGGAGUCCGCUCCUGCAGUAACUCCGGAGCUCUCGGUCUGCAGGGCCUGGAGGCUCGGGGCGGG